rnacentral:rRNA from 1 species
AUAGGGGAGCCGAAGGGAAACCGAGUCUUAACUGGGCGUUAAGUUGCAGGGUAUAGACCCGAAACCCGGUGAUCUAGCCAUGGGCAGGUUGAAGGUUGGGUAACACUAACUGGAGGACCGAACCGACUAAUGUUGAAAAAUUAGCGGAUGACUUGUGGCUGGGGGUGAAAGGCCAAUCAAACCGGGAGAUAGCUGGUUCUCCCCGAAAGCUAUUUAGGUAGCGCCUCGUGAAUUCAUCUCCGGGGGUAGAGCACUGUUUCGGCAAGGGGGUCAUCCCGACUUACCAACCCGAUGCAAACUGCGAAUACCGGAGAAUGUUAUCACGGGAGACACACGGCGGGUGCUAACGUCCGUCGUGAAGAGGGAAACAACCCAGACCGCCAGCUAAGGUCCCAAAGUCAUGGUUAAGUGGGAAACGAUGUGGGAAGGCCCAGACAGCCAGGAUGUUGGCUUAGAAGCAGCCAUCAUUUAAAGAAAGCGUAAUAGCUCACUGGUCGAGUCGGCCUGCGCGGAAGAUGUAACGGGGCUAAACCAUGCACCGAAGCUGCGGCAGCGACGCUUAUGCGUUGUUGGGUAGGGGAGCGUUCUGUAAGCCUGCGAAGGUGUGCUGUGAGGCAUGCUGGAGGUAUCAGAAGUGCGAAUGCUGACAUAAGUAACGAUAAAGCGGGUGAAAAGCCCGCUCGCCGGAAGACCAAGGGUUCCUGUCCAACGUUAAUCGGGGCAGGGUGAGUCGACCCCUAAGGCGAGGCCGAAAGGCGUAGUCGAUGGGAAACAGGUUAAUAUUCCUGUACUUGGUGUUACUGCGAAGGGGGGACGGAGAAGGCUAUGUUGGCCGGGCGACGGUUGUCCCGGUUUAAGCGUGUAGGCUGGUUUUCCAGGCAAAUCCGGAAAAUCAAGGCUGAGGCGUGAUGACGAGGCACUACGGUGCUGAAGCAACAAAUGCCCUGCUUCCAGGAAAAGCCUCUAAGCAUCAGGUAACAUCAAAUCGUACCCCAAACCGACACAGGUGGUCAGGUAGAGAAUACCAAGGCGCUUGAGAGAACUCGGGUGAAGGAACUAGGCAAAAUGGUGCCGUAACUUCGGGAGAAGGCACGCUGAUAUGUAGGUGAAGUCCCUUGCGGAUGGAGCUGAAAUCAGUCGAAGAUACCAGCUGGCUGCAACUGUUUAUUAAAAACACAGCACUGUGCAAACACGAAAGUGGACGUAUACGGUGUGACGCCUGCCCGGUGCCGGAAGGUUAAUUGAUGGGGUCAGCGCAAGCGAAGCUCUUGAUCGAAGCCCCGGUAAACGGCGGCCGUAACUAUAACGGUCCUAAGGUAGCGAAAUUCCUUGUCGGGUAAGUUCCGACCUGCACGAAUGGCGUAAUGAUGGCCAGGCUGUCUCCACCCGAGACUCAGUGAAAUUGAACUCGCUGUGAAGAUGCAGUGUACCCGCGGCAAGACGGAAAGACCCCGUGAACCUUUACUAUAGCUUGACACUGAACAUUGAGCCUUGAUGUGUAGGAUAGGUGGGAGGCUUUGAAGUGUGGACGCCAGUCUGCAUGGAGCCGGCCUUGAAAUACCACCCUUUAAUGUUUGAUGUUCUAACGUGGACCCGUGAUCCGGGUUGCGGACAGUGUCUGGUGGGUAGUUUGACUGGGGCGGUCUCCUCCUAAAGAGUAACGGAGGAGCACGAAGGUUGGCUAAUCCUGGUCGGACAUCAGGAGGUUAGUGCAAUGGCAUAAGCCAGCUUGACUGCGAGCGUGACGGCGCGAGCAGGUGCGAAAGCAGGUCAUAGUGAUCCGGUGGUUCUGAAUGGAAGGGCCAUCGCUCAACGGAUAAAAGGUACUCCGGGGAUAACAGGCUGAUACCGCCCAAGAGUUCAUAUCGACGGCGGUGUUUGGCACCUCGAUGUCGGCUCAUCACAUCCUGGGGCUGAAGUAGGUCCCAAGGGUAUGGCUGUUCGCCAUUUAAAGUGGUACGCGAGCUGGGUUUAGAACGUCGUGAGACAGUUCGGUCCCUAUCUGCCGUGGGCGCUGGAGAACUGAGGGGGGCUGCUCCUAGUACGAGAGGACCGGAGUGGACGCAUCACUGGUGUUCGGGUUGUCAUGCCAAUGGCACUGCCCGGUAGCUAAAUGCGGAAGAGAUAAGUGCUGAAAGCAUCUAAGCACGAAACUUGCCCCGAGAUGAGUUCUCCCUGACCCUUUAAGGGUCCUGAAGGAACGUUGAAGACGACGACGUUGAUAGGCCGGGUGUGUAAGCGCAGCGAUGCGUUGAGCUAACCGGUACUAAUGAACCGUGAGGCUUAACCUUACAACGCCGAAG